GCAGCACAUUCCAAAUAUUGCUCUAUUUAAAGCAUCCCGAGGCUCACAAGAACAACUGCAAAGGCAAACCUUAAAACUUGCCAAUAAAACUUACAGAGGGGGGAAUGGCAGAACCAGCCCAAGUUCCGCUUUCACAUCUCGUUGUACCUAUACUCCUCGCAGUUGGCUGGAUAGUGGGCUGUGCACUAAUGGUUUACAUUGUCUUCUCCUGAUGGAAGACAAAAGAAUUUACAGAGAUGUUGAUUAGAAGAACCUGGAUGUUAAACUGAAAUUUCUAAUGACUGUGUUAUAAAAUGAUUUGGUUUUAAUGUCAACAUUGCAAAUGUGGUGUAUACUUUUUAUCCAGAACAGAAGUUCAAAAUGCGAAUUAGAGCUUUAGGAAGGAUCAUCAAACCAACUUUUCAGGUUUCAAAUAGUUUGUAAUUGAUGGAGUAGUUUCUGGAGCCCAGCAGUAGGUCAGAUAGCUGCCUGCUUUGUUGUUGCCACACUGAAUUGAAGCAGUUUUGGAAACUUUUCCUAGAGUUAGUGAUGCAGUGCUGGACAAAAAAAAAUUAGUUCAGCUCAUUUGUAAGAUGUGCUGAGCAGGGGAAGAAGUGUCUCAAUGUAUGUCAGAAAGUAGUAAGUGAGUU
rnacentral:lncRNA from 14 species